CAUGAUUCAUGGAUUGGGCAUCAUCCAGUCCAGCAGACAGAAAGGAGCUCUGAGGAGCUGCACAAAAUGAGAUUUUCAAGGCAGAAGGGAGCGGGAACCAGGAAAGUAUACCAGGCCAAAAGUACGGUUGCUAAUUGUAAGGUUACUUUCCUUUAGGGAAUGGCGGGGGUCUAUCAGGCAGAUGACCUAAGUGGUGCUGGCCAGGUGAUUUCUGAUUGGUCGAAAUUCCAUUUCUGGGAGAGGGGGCAACUGUGAUUAAGUCUCUGUUUGGUGAUGUGGGGCUUGGCAUAAGUAACUCCAUUUUGGAUCUGUUGUCUGAUUUUUAACAUGAGUUAUGACUUUAAAUUUUUUUUGUGUGUGUGUGUGUGUGAUACACGGGCCUCUCACUGCUGUGGCCUCUCCCGUUGCGGAGCACAGGCUCCGGACGCGCAGACUCAGCGGCCAUGGCUCAUGGGCCCAGCCGCUUCACGGCAUGUGGGAUCUUCCCAGACCGGGGCACGAACCCGUGUCCCCUGCAUUGGCAGGCGGACUCUCAACCACUGCGCACCAGGGAAGCCCUGACUCCAAUUUUUUUUUAAACUUUUUAGAGCGUGAUUUGUUAAAUGUACACUGUAAAUAGAUCUAAGAGGCACAGUUUGGUUGACUAUACGGCUCCUUAGUACAUGGAGAGGUCAAUAGCUGUUCUCAUGUCAAUAACAUCUCACUAAUUUUGUCAAAUUGGGAAAAAGUACACUGUGACUUAACAGGAACAAUUUUUUUUUUUUUUGGCUGUGUUGGGUCUUUGUUGCUGCGCGUGUGCUUUCUCUAGUUGCGGCGAGCGGGGGCUACUCUUCAUUGUGGUGCACGGGCCUCUCAUUGCGGUGGCUUCUCUUGUUGCAGAGCACGGGCUCUAGGAGCAUGGGCUUCAGUAGUUGUGGCACACGGGCUCAGUAGUUGUGGCUCAUGAGCUCUAGAGUGCAGGCUCAGUAGUUGUGGCUCGCAGGGUCUAGAGCGCAGGCUCAGUAGUUGUGACGCACGGGCUUAGCUGCUCCACAGCAUGUGGGAUCUUCCUGGACCAGGGCUCGAACCCAUGUCCCCUGCAUUGGUAGACGGAUGCUUAACCACUGCGCCACCAAGGAAGCCCAACAGGAACAAUUUUGAAUUCAGAAUAUUUGUUAAAGAAAAGUAUUUUAUUAUUCCUUAGGAAUUAGGGUCUCCUGCUACAAAACCACAGUGUGACCUCAAGCAACUCACUUCACUUCUCUGGAUCUCGAUUUCUUCAUCAGGAUAGAUUAGGGGAUUCAACUGCAAGAGCUCGCGGGUCCCUCCCGGCUCGAAAGCGCUGUCCUGCGCGGAGCCCUGACUCAGCACCCUUCCUCCCGGAGCUCUUCCCUCCUGCCUCCCGUUGCCCAGCGUCCCCUGGCUCUUCUGCUUCUGCUGCUCUUUCUCCGGCUCUGUCGGGCGCUCCUCUUAAAUGUCGGCUUGGACCUGUGAUGCUGGAGCUACCCAGUCUUCAUGGCGGUAGCAGCUACCUACCUGCUAACCACUGCCCGCUGCCAUCUCUGCUUCAGGGUCAUGUCACCGGCCAACCGGGUGUGGCAUACAGAUGCCCACAUGCACGUCCAGCUACCGUGUCCAGCGGGAGUCCCCCCCACCCCAAAUGCGGCCCCUUCGCCUGUUUUCCUUAUUUAAGUGAAAAGCACCUGCGGUCAUUUCACCCUCAGAGCAGCUCCGAGCGGUGCUAUCCUCCCAUCACACAGAAGCUAUACACGAGAGUGAAAGCAGUGACGCGCAGAGAAGUUAGGGAGAGAUCUAAGGCAACACGGCAGUGAGUGGUGCCUUGGACGUGCGCUCAAUGUCUCUGCUCCAAGGCCAGAGCUCGCGCCCCCUGCCCUACGUGCUCUCUUGCCCAGCGCAGGAGCCUGGGGGUGGUCCUCAACCCCCAAUCCCUCCCUCGCCCCCCAUGCCCAGCCCCACGCCAGGGCCUGCGGACCAGAAUGGCCCUCGGGCGGCUCCUCAGACCUCACAGCUCAUGCUGUGAACAGCUGUCCUCUCUACUGUCUAGCCAGCGCCGUGUGUUUUGUAUUUUUGUGCUUUUUGUGGGUGAUUUUGCUGUUUAAAUGGCCCCCAGGCCUAGGGCUGAAGUCCUGUCCAGUGCCCCUGAGAGCAGGAAGGCUGUGACCUGCCUUAUGGGGAAAAUGGGUGUGUGAGGUGAGCUUCGAUCAGCGUGAGCUGCAGUGCUGUUGGCUGUGAGGUCGGGCUGGUGAGGCAACAGCACAGCACACCCACAGAGAGGAAGAGGGGCUUCCUGUAAGGACGCUCCUCCAGAAAGCACUAAAGGCAGCGCGUGAUGAAGUGACGGAAAAGGUGGAAAGGCGGCUAAAUCUGUGGAUUCGUGAGGUGACAACUGAUUAAAAAAAUCAUCGUGAGCAUCAUCGUGAGGAAAGCCGAAGACGUCCACGGCCACGGGGACACGGCUGUGGGCGUCUGUGUGCCACACCCUUCGGAGCUGGGUGGCUGACUCAUGUUUCCAGGUGACCUGGCAGAAACGUUCCACCUGCGGAUGGAAAUACCCGCUGAGUGUCAUCCAGGCGAAGGAGCAGGCGGUCCACGCCGCCCCAGGCUUGUUGUUUGAAGACCUGGCGCACGAGCCUGGAGAACACAACCCAGGUCUUGGUUGACAGAAUGUGACCAGAGGCUCCCAGGAGCCAGACGCCACACUUCCCAGGAGCAGCAGGUCCGGCCUUCACCCUCCAGGAACCAGACUCCACACUUCCCAGGAGCAGCAGGUCCAGCCUUCACCCUCCAGGGUUGGCAGCAAGUUCACGGAACACGACUGCGGUACUGAGAGCCGACCGUGCUUCUCACUGUUCCUGCCACGUGGGCUCCAGGCCCGCUGAACUCUUUAUGGUUGCCUGGUGCCCUCUCCUCUCCGCCAGGCCACCUAGACUCACCCUGGAGGCUCAGCUCCAGUCAUCCCCAGGGGCUCUCUCUGGAUCCCACCCUGGAGAUGCUCCUCCCCCGGGCUUGUUAACACACCACGUCCACCUCUGUCUCAGCAUCAUCUCAGCAGGGUGGUCAUGCCCGUGUUUGUCUCCCCCACCAGUGUCUAAGCUGCUGCAGGGCGAAGCCCUUUAUAUACCUCUGUGUGUGUGUGUGUGUGUGUGUGUGUGUGUGUGUGUGUGUGUGUGUGUGUGUGUGUGUGAGAGAGAGAGAGAGAGAGAGAGAGAGAGAGAGAGAUGGGUGGCCAAAACCAACAAUCAAAGGUAUUUCUUAUGGUAUACUUUUACUUUAUUUUUAAAAGUAACACACGCUACCAUGCCGUACAUGAUUGAUUCCACGCUUCUGUGCUCUGGUUCUUAGCACAGAGCCUGGCCCAUAGAGAGGAUCAGUACAUAUUCAUUGAAAAGAAAAGCAUAAAGGUUAACAAUAUCUAUUCAUUCUACCUAAUUGAAGUUCCCGGGUCAUAAAUUUUUAAUAAACAGAUAAAAUAGUUUGAAAUUAACAUAUUAAAUUAAUGGCUUGUUCUCUGAAAUAUUUAAAAUAAUUGCUCUGCCCUCUCUUUUCAGUUUGAGCUCUGUGUAAUAAAAUUUUGCUGAGCAAAAUAAACUUCAGCUUAAUCCAAAUGGAAUAAGUAGAAGUUUGGAGCAGUCAGUCUGAGCGAGUUUUUACUGUGCUCAGUGUAACUCUGGAAUAUUGAAGCCAGGGAGGGCUCAACGUACACCUGUGUUAAUUAGGCUCUUCCAGGUGAGCUAAGGAAGCUGGAAGGGGAGGAACAGAAACAGCCUCACCAAGCUGUCGGGGCCAGGAAGGAAGGCUGUCUGUGCACAGCCAGCUCUGGCCUUGGACAGCGCCUCCGGGACUCAGCGACUGGCUGUCUCCCCGUGAGCGGGCGUCUGCUGCUCCAGGAGCUGCUGUCGUGGGGACUUGGCUCCUGCAGCCUCUGCUUGGUCGUGGGCCGUCCUGACCUGUCACUGCUGCCCCUCUGCUCCUUGCCUCCUUCAUGCUCCUGCAGACUGGCAAGUGCCGAGCGUCCCUAUAGGUCUCACAUUCAGGUCCCCACAAAGAAGGGAUGCGAUUGCUUCAGAUAGCUUCUCUCCUUCCUACUGGGCAGACACCUCGCCCCAGUCCACCUCCUAAUACGGAGGUCAUCCUAUAAGUUAGCUGCCCGUGGGCCCAGCACCUCCCCUGUGAGCCAGAGUGGUGGGAAGGCACGGCUGCUUCCUCAGAAGGCCUGUGGGCAUGCGACACUCCUCUCUGAGGCCACAGAGGCAGCACUGACACCUGGAAGGUUAGGUGAUCAUUCCAAGGAGCGUCCUUUCAAAGCCCCUGCGGUCCAGGUCUCUGGAGCACAUCACCUCUCCAGUUUUGAGAAGACUUGCCUACUUGGCUUGUUUAUUUUGAGCUGCUCUAAAUGUUUGGGUGAAGCCUUCAGGGAUUAACAGACAGAUCUCAUAUAUGCAACCUCUAACUGCACCGCCAGUGGGUCCUUUAUCAGAAUUACUUAUGGAUGAACAUUAAGGACGUCUGAUAUCACUGAACACUGAAUAAGAGGGUCUGCAACGUUCUGCUUAUUUUCAUUUGUUUUCCUUAAUCUAAAUAAAUGAGUUGCUGCUUUAAAAAUA